GGUGCUCUGAACGAGUUAGGCUUCGACACCUGUCCGCUGGCAGGUCCACGUCGGCUCUUUCUUCUCUCCCACGUCGUUCCAGUUUAAACCAACGCGCGGGCAAUUAAAAAAGUGGAAAGGGCAUUCUCUCUCCUCUUUGCUCUCUCUUCCUCCUCCGACGCUCCUUCCGGUCUAGCGAUUCCUCCGACGACCGUCGCUCCCUCCCGACGACGGCCUUUCUCUCUCCACUCGACGGCCUCAUCUCAGGGCUCCAUUCUCUCGGCGCACUUCUUCCUAAAUCGCGCUCUCUCCCGACGGCCGAUUUCGCUCGCCUCUCUCCGUCCCCUCUCUCCCUCAAUCCUCCAACAACUCCCUCCCCCUGCAGGAGCUGCUGCUGCUCUCGCCUUCGCCUUACAAGAGAUCGAAGACCCGCCUCGCGGAUCGGCUCGAGGCGGCUGACGAGCCGGCCGAGGGCCGCGCGGCGCUGCGCAAGCGGUGCAAGAGGAGGGAGGGGCAGGCGGGCCUCCCGGGGUGCGCCUCGCCGCGGGGCCAUCGGCGGUCGCGGAGGCGAGCCGAGGUGGAGGCUCGGGAGGAGCGGGAUUCGGGGCUCGUCGAGGAGGCCGGGAAGCAGAGGAGGAGGCACGGCGGGAGGUCGAGGAAGGAGAGGCUCAGCUUGGUGCCCCUCGUGAACACCUCUUCUAGUUUGUCUCUGAAUGCAGAAAAUGAUGAUGGGGACAAUGGGAAUCUGGACCGAAUCGAACAGGCGAUUACUGAUUUGAUAAUGUGGAGAGAUGUCGCGAAAUCGACGCUCUGGUUUGGUGUAGGGUCUCUCUGCUUCUUGUCUUCUUGCUUUGCUCGAGGAAUCAGCUUCAGAUACUUGAGCACUUGGCAGAUCUCAAGUCUCCUUGGAACUGCCCCGAUGGAAGGCCUGUCAUGCAUCGUUUGGUCGACUUGACGGCAAUAAGCAAAAGGUUACAUAAGCACAUCAAUAAACGAUGGUCCUGGAUGUUUAACAUUGAGAUGUCCUGAUCCAUCUUGUGGUGCUGCCGUUGGUCAAGACAUUAUGAAUCUAUUAGCGCCUAAAGAAGAUAAGAAAAAGUGUUCUCAAUAUCUUCUUCACUCGUACAUUGAAGACAAUAGAAAGACCAAGUGGUGUCCUGCCCCUGGUUGUGAAUACGCUGUAGAAUAUAUUGCUGGCAGUGAAGGUUACCAUGUUUCCUGCUCUUUCAACUUUUGCUGGAAUUGUACAGAGGAAGCUCACCGUCCAGUAGAUUGUGGCAAUGUGGCACAGUGGAUCAUGAAGAACAGUGCCGAAUCUGAAAGCAUGAACUGGAUUCUAGCCAAUUCAAAGCCUUGUCCGAAGUGUAAGCGGCCAAUAGAGAAAAACCAAGGGUGUAUGCAUAUUGACUUGUACACCUCCUUGUAAAUUUGAGUUCUGCUGUUGUUAAGGAAACCUCAUCAAAAACCCUUCUGGAGAAACAAGGCCUUGUUGCUGCUGCUGCAGGAUCUCACCCAAUUGAUCAAGACAGUGCUUUUUUGAGGACGUGAGGUUUCCUGCAUAACAUUCACCAAGCCAGCAUCUUUCAGUUUUCUGGCACGCAUUUGGAGAUCUCCUUUUCACUAUUUUCAUCUUUUCAGAAGAAGAAAUCAUACAGACACGAUCCUAAUUGAAACAAUUCACUUGUGCGUUCACUGUCUUCAUCUUCACUUCCACAGGAGUCCGGGCUUUCCCGCUGAUUCAAGAGCUCAUACGGAAAGGCUUUGUGCCGCAGCAAGCCACAGAUUGUAUGGAAUGGGACGAUAUAAAAGACAUCACCAGGUUGACUCAGGCUGAACAACUAUCCAGGGGAACUUGAACACGUCAGGGCGAGUCACAAAGUGUCUGGGAUUUUUCUUCAUGACUUCAGCAGCAGUGAUCGGUUUUUUAUGCAUUUCGGUGAGGCCUCCUGGAUGCACCAGCUUCACCACAGGCUUCUUGCGGGUAAUCGCAUCCAUCACUUAUGAUGUGGUGGAGACUUUGGAUCAGGAGACAGCCGAAUGGAUGGGGGCUGGAAUAUAAGCCUGAUCAUUUAGCCUUAUCCUAGAGAGGGGACCUUGCUGCUGGCGUAGGUAACCAUGUAACCUGGGAAUUGAUGUUGUAUGUAGUUUGUCUUGAGCAGAAUGAUAUUUUAGAUGGUUCUGGAUAUUAUCUAUGCAAUAAUACACGUCCUCUUCAAGGAGUUGGCUUCAGCCA